UACGUAGGGUGCAAGCGUUAAUCGGAAUUACUGGGCGUAAAGCGCACGUAGGCGGCUUUGUAAGUUAGAGGUGAAAGCCCGGGGCUCAACUCCGGAAUUGCCUUUAAGACUGCAUCGCUAGAAUUGUGGAGAGGUAAGUGGAAUUCCGAGUGUAGAGGUGAAAUUCGUAGAUAUUGGGAAGAACACCAGUGGCGAAGGCGGCUCUCUGGACCGAUACUGACGCUGAGGCGCGAAAGCGUGGGGAGCAAACAGG
rnacentral:rRNA from 1 species